rnacentral:tRNA from 1 species
AAUAAAAUGCCUGAUUUAAAAGGAUUACUUCGAUAAAGUAAAUUAUAUAAUUAAAUAUUAUUUUUAUUA